ACGUAGGGAGCAAGCGUUGUUCGGAUUUACUGGGCGUAAAGGGCGCGUAGGCGGCAAUUCAAGUCAUCUGUGAAAUCUCCGGGCUUAACUCGGAACUGUCAGAUGAUACUGCUUUGCUAGAGUGCAGAAGGGGCAACUGGAAUUCUCGGUGUAGCGGUGAAAUGCGUAGAUAUCGAGAGGAACACCUGCGGCGAAGGCGGGUUGCUGGGCUGACACUGACGCUGAGGCGCGAAAGCUAGGGGAGCGAACGGGA
rnacentral:rRNA from 1 species